CAGUCGCCGCGGGAAAACGGAGGGUGCGAGCGUUAAUCGGAAUAACUGGGCGUAAAGGGCACGCAGGCGGUUAUUUAAGUGAGGUGUGAAAGCCCCGGGCUUAACCUGGGAAUUGCAUUUCAGACUGGGUAACUAGAGUACUUUAGGGAGGGGUAGAAUUCCACGUGUAGCGGUGAAAUGCGUAGAGAUGUGGAGGAAUACCGAAGGCGAAGGCAGCCCCUUGGGAAUGUACUGACGCUCAUGUGCGAAAGCGUGGGGAGCAAACAGGAUUAGAUACCCCCGUAGUCCCUGUCUCUUAUAC
rnacentral:rRNA from 1 species